rnacentral:lncRNA from 1 species
AGUGAGGAACCUGUCACAGUCUCUCUCUCAAACAAUCUACAAGCAAGACUGAAAACAGAUUUCUAGAGAUGAUGAGAAGAAGAUGAUGAGAAGACCUUGGGGGCAGUUGCGAAUUCAUAACAUUUUGAAUGGAAAGAGCAUUGGAGAUCUUCUGUCUCCAGUCUUGUGAUGGGUGAGAACCCCAAGGUCCACCGAAGUUCAGUGACUUAGCCAAAAAUCACACUGCAAGGAAAUGUCAGAGCUGGACUAGAAUCCUGUCUCGAGACAUACUUCUUUAAUAUACCACCCCUUCUUUCGCAGAUGUAUCUUUAGACCAGAGUUUCUCAAACUUAGCACUGCUGACAUUUGGGGCCAGAAAUACUGCAUUGUCGGGGGCUGCCCUGCGCAUUGUAGAAUGUUUAACAGCAUUCCUGUUCUCUACCCAGUAGAUGCCAGAAGGACUGUCACCCCAGCUGUGACAACCAAAAAUGCCUGCAGACUUUGCCAAAUCUUCCUUAGGGAAGGCAAAAUAGCCUGCAGUUGAAAACCACUGGGACAGAUCAGAGCAUCCCCUAGGAUGGGGAAACUGAGGUCGAUUGAAGUUAAGUGACGUACCAAGGUCACCCAGCCAUCAGUGACAGAGCCAGGAGUCAAACCUGGAUCAUCUGACUCCAGUGCACAGGCUCUGAAGGAUCCAGAAUGCUCUGAAACAUUCCAAGCCGUGUUGCAUCCUCACUCAGAAACCCUUGUUCUUCCUGUCAUCCCAGGGAGCCCUCCAAGCCCCACCAGAGUUCCAGAAAUCCACACUUUUGGGGAGGCACCAAGCUAUGGGGUAGAGUGUCCCACCCUCCUCCUUUUCUACCAGCAUCUGGCAACCGUUCUGGGGAGAAUGGAGACAGUGGCUCUUCCUGUGGCUUUCUUUGCUCACAGGGACCUGCUGCCUGGUUCUUGGCAAUUCUGCAUCUCCACAGCAUCCAAGUUUUCAUUGCCUAACACCAGAAAUCCUGUGGUCAUUGCCAUGGCACCUCAUAGGCUUCCCUGACCCCUUCCCACUGCCAUGCAAGACCUACACAGAGAUUCUCGUCUCUGGAAAUAUGCCACCUGGACCAGCCCAUUAUUUCUUUGGCUCAGACCCAAACUCACUCUUCAACCUCCUUCCCUACUGAACACAGGACUCCCUAGUACCAAAAACACUCACCACAUGCUUAUCAUGUCUGGGAUAGGCACUGCACUCUACAGUUACAAGCACUGCCUAAUUCAAUUCACCCAACUACUCUUUGGAGACACGUUAUCUUCAUUUACAUAUAGGAAAAUACAUAAGAUGGUAAUUGGCAGAGAAAGAACCCCAAAAGUUCUUAACACUCUUACAAGGGAAUUUGCAAUAAUAACAGGAAAAUAAUAAGUUUUUGGCAUUCUUUAGAAAAAGAAAAUAUUCAAAAAAUUAAUUCAACUAUCUGGUAGUAGGUAAGCACCAUGAGGGCAUAGAUUUUUGCCUGUUUUGUUCACUGACUUGUCUCAGUGCUAGAACUUGGUUCAGUACAUAGUAGAUGCUCAAUAAAGAACUUUGAAUGAAUGCUUUGUAGACUCUCCUGGUUCAUUUAUUUUUUCAACAAAACAUAUAUUAUGUGUUAGGCUCUGGACUAGGAGCUGGAGUUACAAAGAUGAACAAGACAUGUUUCCAUCCCACA